rnacentral:lncRNA from 1 species
GAUAAUCGAGUAAAGUCUCAUUCCGAGCUAUCACAAAUGAGUCAUCUACGCAGUCCCGUUCAAUGUGCAUAAAAAAAUACAUUAUUGUUCUUGUUCCCAAAUCUAGACAAAUCUUAAUAAGAACGAUACAAUGUUACCAACAUAAAGCGUCCAACUUUAUGUACUGAUUGUGAAUGACAUAUUUUGAUCACAUCACGAAUUGUAUCUCUCUAUACCCGAACCAUCGAGUAUACAAUUUUUGACAUCUUAUAUAAUCAUAGAACCUUAAAUAAUCAUUUCAAAUCGUAACACAUGAAUAAUCGAACGUCAAUUCAUAAUGUCAAUUUACAAAAUACUACUCAAGAGAGAGCAUCAAAUUAACACCAUCCACACCAAAUAUAAAGUAA